AAUCAAUCAUAGUCGCCCAGCUAACUACAGGUGGUUCCUGUUCCAUUUUUUCUCCCCUCCUCUCACCCUCCACCUCCAGAUCCGAUCCGAGUCCGAUCCACGCCGGCGAUCACCUGAGCACCGCCAUGGCGCUCAGCCUCCGCCAAAAGCAGCUUGAUGUGAUCGUGCGGAUGCUGCACCUGAACCAGCAGCAGCAGCAGCCGUCGCCGGACGGCGGCGAGGGGCAAGGGGAGGACGAGGCGUACAAGAUCCUGGUGAUGGACGCCCCUUGCGUCUCCCUCCUCUCCCCCGUGCUCCGCGUUGGCGACCUCCGCCGCCACGGUGUCACCCUCACCCUCGGCAUCGACCGUGCUCGGCAGGCGGUGCCCGACGCUCCCGCGGUCUACCUCGUCCGCCCCACGCCCGCCAACGCCGACCGCAUCGCCGCCGACGCCGCCGCAGGCCUCUACGCCUCGUUCCACAUCAACUUCUCAACCUCAGUCCCGCGGCCCGUGCUCGAGCGCCUCGCCGCCGCCUGCGCCGCGUCUCCCGGGGCCGCGCGCCGCGUGGCCCGUGUAGCCGACCAGUACCUCGACUUCGUCUGCCUUGAGGAUGGGCUCUUCUCCCUCGCCCAGCCGCGCGCGUACGUCGCGCUCAACGACCCCGCCGCCGCCGACGCCGACAUCACCACGCUCGUCGAAGCCGUCGCGCUGGGCCUCUUCUGCGUCGCCGCCACGCUUGGCGCCGUACCCGUCAUCAGGUGCGCGCGCGGAGGCCCCGCGGAGAUGGUCGCUGCCGCUCUCGAAGCCCGCCUCCGCGACCACCUCCACGCCAAGCCCAACCUCUUCACAGAGACCGCGUCCGCCGCGUCAUUCCAGCGCCCUGUCCUGUGCCUGUUCGACAGGAAUUUCGAGCUGUCGGUUGGGGUACAGCACGACUGGAGCUACCGGCCAUUGGUCCACGAUGUGCUCGGCUUGAAGCUGAAUAAACUGAAGUUGCCGGCGGAGAAGUACGAACUGGAAGACUCCGACAAAUUCUGGGUGGCAAACAGUUGGUUGCCAUUCCCCAAAGUUGCUGAGGAAAUUGAGGCGCAGCUUGCCAAGUACAAGCAGGAUGUGGAUGAGGUGAACCAGCGCACUGGUGGUGGCAAGGUUGGGGUUGAAUUCGAUGGCACUGAUCUGAUUGGCAACACCAAGCAUCUCAUGAAUGCGGUGAAUUCGCUCCCAGAGCUGACAGAACGGAAGAAGAUGAUUGAUAAGCACACUAAUAUCGCAACAGCAUUGCUUGGGCAUAUCAAGGAGAGGUCUUUGGAUGGAUACUGCGACUGCGAGAAUGAUAUGCUCGUGAAUGGCACUGUGGAUCGGAACACGCUGCUGAGUCUCCUUAGAGGUAAGGGUACCAAGGAAGAUAAGCUCCGGCUAGCUGUAACGUACCUAUUGUCCUUUGAGACACCACCAUCAUCUGAACUGGAGCAGGUUGAGGCUGCGCUGUGGGAGUCGGAAGUCGACAUGUCUGCAUUUCAGUAUGUGAAGAGGAUAAAGGCAUUGAAUACCCAAUUUGCUGCUGCUUCAGGCACAGCAACAAAGAGCAACAUUGUCGAUUGGGCAGAGAAGCUUUAUGGGCAGUCCCUUAGUGCAGUGACUGCAGGUGUGAAGAAUCUCUUGUCAGAUGGGAGGCAGCUGGCCUUGACAAGGACAGUUGAAGCUCUGAUGGAAGGGAAACCAAACCCAGAGGUGGACGACUACCUCUUGUUCGAUCCACGGGCCCCUAGGUCAGGAACUGGUGGGCAGUUUAAAGGACCCUUCAGAGAAGCUAUUGUUUUCAUGAUUGGUGGUGGAAACUACAUCGAGUACAGGAGCUUGAUGGAACUAGGACAACGCUCACAGCCUUCCAAGCAUGUUAUAUAUGGUGCAACAGAAAUUCUUAGUGGUGUGGAGUUUAUUCACCAACUUGCGGAAUUGGGACAGAAAGCAGGAUUGGGUGGUGGAAGCAGCAACCCACCACCUGGUCCAGCACAGUAGGUAGAAGCUUUUACCAGACCUUUUGAUGUUAAGGAGUGAUUCAAGCUUCAGAGAUUACAGCGGUUAUAUAUUUUCUUGCUGCCCUUCUGCUGAGCAUAUGUUAGUUUCUGGGACUGCAAAUACGUGAUUCACCAUGUUGAUUGAUCUUCAUGGCACAACUGGUUGAAUGGCAGCAAUGUCUUGCUGAACCUUAGUGAUGUUGAUCCUGCAUUGGCCAUCCAAUUUUAUCCUGAUAUUCAUCUCAGAAAGAACUGUGUUUUCUGUGUGCGGCAGCGAAAACUGGUAAUCAGGAGCUGAGCCAGUAAGUUCUCUUUCCGUCUGCUAAUACAGCCUCUGCAGGUGGCACGUGAGGCGGCACAUGUCGUCGAUGAUCUCACGUUCUAAAUCCCCCUCUAUAUCUGCUUCCAAAUCAUCAUGGAUUCAUAGCUCCUCAGUUGAAACUGUGUUCUCUGAAACGGCACCCUGCUCAUUAAAAAGAAAUGGAAAAUAAGUUGUAUGUGAUCCAUGAUACUGCUUACCUCUCCGUAUACCCUGAAGGAGCAUAACUAGUGUGACAACAGCAUGCAAGCUGAAGAACAUGACAGUGGGAGAGGAAGGUAAAGAUCAAAGUUACUGAAAUAGCAAUGCAACUAUACCAGUAGAAGAUAACCUGGCUGGGGUUGCCCAUGAGCAGAUGACGAAAAUGUUCUUCGCCUUCUUAUUUCUAGCCUGAUGUUCUUAUUUUGGCAAAGGCAGUUAUCACUUGGUUUUUGUUCAGUAAACCGGGAAGGUGGAACAAGAAGUUGUCAGUCUGGUUGCGCUUAAGCAAAGCUAUCAUACACAAUUGCAAGCAAAAAUCUUACAACUGGCAUCAGAUUGAAGGAGCACGGUGUGGUGCAUCAACAGUGAAAUUGGAAUGGCCCCGGAUGCAUUUUAAAGGGUCUGCGCAUGAUGCAGUUUAGAUGAUCUGCACAUUAAGGGUUGUUGAACAGAUACAAUGUAUGUUUCUUCGUAUGAUUGGUUCAUCAGAAUUUCUCUUAUGCUUGAUCUACUAUGGAAGUAUUGUGAUAUUUGUUUCCUUGGCA